rnacentral:rRNA from 1 species
GAUGAACGCUGGCGGCGUGCUUAACACAUGCAAGUCGAACGGAAAGGCCCAAGCUUGCUUGGGUACUCGAGUGGCGAACGGGUGAGUAACACGUGGGUGAUCUGCCCUGCACUUCGGGAUAAGCCUGGGAAACUGGGUCUAAUACCGGAUAGGACGAUGGUUUGGAUGCCAUUGUGGAAAGUUUUUUCGGUGUGGGAUGAGCUCGCGGCCUAUCAGCUUGUUGGUGGGGUAAUGGCCUACCAAGGCGUCGACGGGUAGCCGGCCUGAGAGGGUGUACGGCCACAUUGGGACUGAGAUACGGCCCAGACUCCUACGGGAGGCAGCAGUGGGAAUAUUGCACAAUGGGCGCAAGCCUGAUGCAGCGACGCCGCGUGGGGGAUGACGGCCUUCGGGUUGUAAACUCCUUUCGCUAGGGACGAAGCGUUUUUGUGACGGUACCUGGAGAAGAAGCACCGGCUAACUACGUG